rnacentral:rRNA from 1 species
CAGUCGCCGCGGUAAUACGAAGGGGGCUAGCGUUGUUCGGAUUUACUGGGCGUAAAGGGUGCGUAGGCGGACUGAUAAGUCAGGGGUGAAAUCCCAAGGCUCAACCUUGGAACUGCCUUUGAUACUGUUAGUCUUGAGUUCGAGAGAGGUGAGUGGAACUGCGAGUGUAGAGGUGAAAUUCGUAGAUAUUCGCAAGAACACCAGUGGCGAAGGCGGCUCACUGGCUCGAAACUGACGCUGAGGAGCGAAAGCGUGGGGAGCAAACAGGAUUAGAUACCCCAGUAGUCCCUGUCUCUUAUAC